UACGUAGGGUGCAAGCGUUAAUCGGAAUUACUGGGCGUAAAGCGUGCGCCAGGCGGUUUUGUAAGUCUGUCGUGAAAUCCCCGGGCUCAACCUGGGAAUUGCGAUGGAGACUGCAAGGCUAGAAUCUGGGCAGAGGGGGGUAGAAUUCCACGUGUAGCAGUGAAAUGCGGUAGAGAUGUGGAGGAACACCGAUGGCGAAGGCAGCCCCCUGGGUCAAGAUUGGACGCUCAUGCACGAA
rnacentral:rRNA from 1 species